CUGAUUAUUGAAAGGUGCUUGCAUCUUGAUUUAAUUUUGAACGAGUGGCGGACGGGUGAGUAACACGUGGGUAACCUGCCCUUAAGUGGGGGAUAACAUUUGGAAACAGAUGCUAAUACCGCAUAAAUCCAAGAACCGCAUGGUUCUUGGCUGAAAGAUGGCGUAAGCUAUCGCUUUUGGAUGGACCCGCGGCGUAUUAGCUAGUUGGUGAGGUAACGGCUCACCAAGGCAAUGAUACGUAGCCGAACUGAGAGGUUGAUCGGCCACAUUGGGACUGAGACACGGCCCAAACUCCUACGGGAGGCAGCAGUAGGGAAUCUUCCACAAUGGACGCAAGUCUGAUGGAGCAACGCCGCGUGAGUGAAGAAGGCUUUCGGGUCGUAAAACUCUGUUGUUGGAGAAGAAUGGUCGGCAGAGUAACUGUUGUCGGCGUGACGGUAUCCAACCAGAAAGCCACGGCUAACUACGUGCCAGCAGCCGCGGUAAUACGUAGGUGGCAAGCGUUAUCCGGAUUUAUUGGGCGUAAAGCGAGCGCAGGCGGUUUUUUAAGUCUGAUGUGAAAGCCCUCGGCUUAACCGAGGAAGUGCAUCGGAAACUGGGAAACUUGAGUGCAGAAGAGGACAGUGGAACUCCAUGUGUAGCGGUGAAAUGCGUAGAUAUAUGGAAGAACACCAGUGGCGAAGGCGGCUGUCUGGUCUGUAACUGACGCUGAGGCUCGAAAGCAUGGGUAGCGAACAGGAUUAGAUACCCUGGUAGUCCAUGCCGUAAACGAUGAAUGCUAGGUGUUGGAGGGUUUCCGCCCUUCAGUGCCGCAGCUAACGCAUUAAGCAUUCCGCCUGGGGAGUACGACCGCAAGGUUGAAACUCAAAGGAAUUGACGGGGGCCCGCACAAGCGGUGGAGCAUGUGGUUUAAUUCGAAGCAACGCGAAGAACCUUACCAGGUCUUGACAUCUUUUGAUCACCUGAGAGAUCAGGUUUCCCCUUCGGGGGCAAAAUGACAGGUGGUGCAUGGUUGUCGUCAGCUCGUGUCGUGAGAUGUUGGGUUAAGUCCCGCAACGAGCGCAACCCUUAUGACUAGUUGCCAGCAUUUAGUUGGGCACUCUAGUAAGACUGCCGGUGACAAACCGGAGGAAGGUGGGGAUGACGUCAAAUCAUCAUGCCCCUUAUGACCUGGGCUACACACGUGCUACAAUGGAUGGUACAACGAGUUGCGAGACCGCGAGGUCAAGCUAAUCUCUUAAAGCCAUUCUCAGUUCGGACUGUAGGCUGCAACUCGCCUACACGAAGUCGGAAUCGCUAGUAAUCGCGGAUCAGCACGCCGCGGUGAAUACGUUCCCGGGCCUUGUACACACCGCCCGUCACACCAUGAGAGUUUGUAACACCCGAAGCCGGUGGCGUAACCCUUUUAGGGAGCGA
rnacentral:rRNA from 1 species